GCUGGGGGAUAGUGGCGAACGGGUGAGUAACACGUGAGUAACCUGCCCUUGACUCUGGGAUAAGCCUGGGAAACUGGGUCUAAUACCGGAUACGACUAUCUGACGCAUGUCAUGGUGGUGGAAAGCUUUUGCGGUUUUGGAUGGACUCGCGGCCUAUCAGCUUGUUGGUGGGGUAAUGGCCUACCAAGGCGACGACGGGUAGCCGGCCUGAGAGGGUGACCGGCCACACUGGGACUGAGACACGGCCCAGACUCCUACGGGAGGCAGCAGUGGGGAAUAUUGCACAAUGGGCGAAAGCCUGAUGCAGCGACGCCGCGUGAGGGAUGACGGCCUUCGGGUUGUAAACCUCUUUCAGUAGGGAAGAAGCGAAAGUGACGGUACCUGCAGAAGAAGCGCCGGCUAACUACGUGCCAGCAGCCGCGGUAAUACGUAGGGCGCAAGCGUUAUCCGGAAUUAUUGGGCGUAAAGAGCUCGUAGGCGGUUUGUCGCGUCUGCUGUGAAAGACCGGGGCUCAACUCCGGUUCUGCAGUGGGUACGGGCAGACUAGAGUGCAGUAGGGGAGACUGGAAUUCCUGGUGUAGCGGUGAAAUGCGCAGAUAUCAGGAGGAACACCGAUGGCGAAGGCAGGUCUCUGGGCUGUAACUGACGCUGAGGAGCGAAAGCAUGGGGAGCGAACAGGAUUAGAUACCCUGGUAGUCCAUGCCGUAAACGUUGGGCACUAGGUGUGGGGGACAUUCCACGUUUUCCGCGCCGUAGCUAACGCAUUAAGUGCCCCGCCUGGGGAGUACGGCCGCAAGGCUAAAACUCAAAGGAAUUGACGGGGGCCCGCACAAGCGGCGGAGCAUGCGGAUUAAUUCGAUGCAACGCGAAGAACCUUACCAAGGCUUGACAUGAACCGGAAAGACCUGGAAACAGGUGCCCCGCUUGCGGUCGGUUUACAGGUGGUGCAUGGUUGUCGUCAGCUCGUGUCGUGAGAUGUUGGGUUAAGUCCCGCAACGAGCGCAACCCUCGUUCUAUGUUGCCAGCGCGUUAUGGCGGGGACUCAUAGGAGACUGCCGGGGUCAACUCGGAGGAAGGUGGGGACGACGUCAAAUCAUCAUGCCCCUUAUGUCUUGGGCUUCACGCAUGCUACAAUGGCCGGUACAAAGGGUUGCGAUACUGUGAGGUGGAGCUAAUCCCAAAAAGCCGGUCUCAGUUCGGAUUGGGGUCUGCAACUCGACCCCAUGAAGUCGGAGUCGCUAGUAAUCGCAGAUCAGCAACGCUGCGGUGAAUACGUUCCCGGGCCUUGUACACACCGCCCGUCAAGUCACGAAAGUUGGUAACA
rnacentral:rRNA from 1 species